CACUCGGCAAAACAUGGAUUUGGAUUGGAAGAGAAAAAAAUUUGAGUGACACCGAUUACAAAUUAAGAAUGAUAGCUAAAAGGUGGAGAAAUCAGUACGAAAAAAAUAGGGGGAAAUUGAACAAAAGAACGAUAAAACUGUGGCAAUUGAUGCACCAGGCGGAAAUCUUAGUUUAAAGAUAAAGAGCAGAGCCCAGCAAAUAACUUUAAAUCCAAACAUAAUAAAAGUAAAAAAUUUAUUAGCUAACGUUUCGUUGUUUACAAUACAACAUCUUCAGAGCAAUCUAAAUGAAUUUACAGGGUAUGGUAUAUAUAUUUACAAAAUAAUGGUUUAAUAUUACAAAAACGGUCACAUAGUUUGAAAGAACAAAUGAAUAGAAAGAAAGGAAAACAACUUAUCAGUAACUAGUUAAUAAGUUAAGAUUAAUGUAUGGUUAGUAUAGUUAAGGUUAAUAUUACAUAACUAAAAUAACUCAAGAGAGGUAGAUCUAAUAUUAGCAUUAAGAACAGGGUUAAGUUGAGAUAUUAAUAGGCUUUCACGGAUAAGAAGAAACCACUCAGAAGUGCCUGAUGAUAGGAUUUUGAAAUUAGAAGCGGAGACUGGGUGUUUGUGAACAAUAAACGAUAAAAAAACGAUAAAAGAACGAUAAAAGAACGAUAAAAGAACGAUAGUUAAACACAAAAUAAGAAUGAGAAAUAUUCACUCGGCAAAAUUUACUUAUACCCCCCUCCCCCCAUUCAAAGAGGUCUAGCGCCGUCCCUGCCACAGUAGCUGUGCUUCGUGAUCAUAGAUAAGUCAUAAAGUAGCCUCAGGUAGAACUUCGUAAUUCAGCUUAGCUCUCAGCUGCAAGUAACGGGAUGAUUAGCACAUUCCCCACUUAUACUUGCUUACUGUCUUGUUCCAUUUCUUCUUUAGUGACAGCAGACUUUGUUACCUCAAAAGGAAUCAAAUAAGAGAUCCCCAAAACCUGCAAUGUUUGAGAGAGUCAAGUCAGUUAACCUGGAAAUACUUUAACUUCUUAAAUGUGAGUCUCCAAGGAAUUAGCAUUUCUCACGGCCGAUUUUUCCGCCAUUUUGGGGUAGUACCUCUCCCACGUUUAAGAGUGUUCGUACCACGAAAUCUUUUUAUUAGUAUUGUAGUUGUUUGUAUAAUGGUACAUUUACAGUUACAACUUUUAAAAGUCGCUUUUCACGUUUUUUGAAUUGUCUAGAAUCUUUCACGAGGGCAGACAGUACCCCAAAAAUGGCGGAUUUAGUUUGGCCUUCGUGAGAAAGGCUAAUUGAUGUCCUACAGCAGUUGAGGAUGAAGGCACACUACUCCACUAGGUUGCACUAACCAUUGUGCUAUCCGACUCCACAGUGAUUAAUAGAACUUAGGGAGAAGGAAUUUAGAUUUUUGAAGAUUCUUGCAUGGUGAGUAAUAUAUGCUUGUAUAUUUAUGCAAGCAAUUAACCAAAAAUAAUUUGCAGUUCGCCUUGCGAGCGAAGCGAGCAGCCGGAACAGGUUUGGAACCGUGUAGCUUGCGAGUUGCGAGGUGGGACGCCGGGGAAACCUUUUUUAUCAGACGGUCCUGAGAAAGUCAAUUUUGGCAAUAGGAAACAUAACUCAGAGCUUGGGAGGCUUGAGAUUUGGUAAACAAAAUUUGGCAGGAAAUUAAAAUAAUCAAACCAGUACAGAAGACAAUCAGUACAGAAAAAAAAACACGUAUUAAAUCUGGUCGGUGAAUAUUGCAAAAAGGUGUGGGAAAAAUUUUAAUUUUCUGGUACUAUACUAUCGUGCACAAGACCUUCUGACCCAAGUUUGCAGUACUUACGGAUCACAACACACAUGGAAUAAUAAUAUGAGUUUUGUUUUUUGUGGAAACAUCGCGUAUAUUUAUUAUUGCAAAGCUUUUGAACCGUAAGAUCUUCGUCAGAGAUAAAAAGAUAUUAUUAAUUAGCGCUGAUGAAGAUACGGUAAAAAUAUAUAUUAUUAGCACUGAUGAAGAAUGCUUUGCAGCAAUAAAUAUAUGUGGUGUCGUGGUCAUUCACAUGCACAAACCAAAUCUUGUGACUUGACUUGGACUUGCAAAAUAAGAAAUGUUAACAACUUUGGUUUGAACAUUAUCUUUGACUUUGACUGAUAACGUUCGCCGAUUUUGGAAGAUAUUGGUUUUCAUUCAUUGGUAUGAAAUAGGUAAUUGGACAAGUACUGGUGUAAGACAUUCUGUAGCCUAAAUAAUGAGGACCAGCAGUUCAAACGGUUAUCCUUUAUUUAUUUACUCCGACUCCUGUGAUGGUGAACAUGUACGCAAAAAACAAGGGAAACUACGAUUAGAUAGUAACUGAAUAUGUGAAUUUUAUGUGACACGAUGAGGGCGAGCGAGGAUAUAUAAGAGCGAGAGAUUGAAUUGGAAUAGGAAAGGCCACCCUGUACGCGUUUCGACCUAACAGUCUUCUUCAGCAGGGUUUUUUUAAGGGGGGGGGGGUGUAGAUAGAGUUUGCAGAGUGAAACUAGAAUGCAGGAGAGUUUAGGAGCACUGAACAUAUGUGAAACCAGAGAAAACAAAUUAUUACGAAGUUAUAAUGAAUUACACAAUACAAAAAUGAAGGUUGAAAGAAAGUGAAAAGGAUGAAAUUACUGAAUAUGUUAUUAGUAAAAUUAUCCUACCAAAGGUCUUGUUGUUGCGGGACAUUCCAACAUUACGUACUUUAUUGUUCAUCUUUUAACUAUAUUUUUGGAGCGAAUAUUUUUGACUUUGUCCAGAAUUUUCAUCCAAAAAUGGGGAUUGAGAUGGAUUCACCUACCUCGGUCCUGAAAAAUGCAAGUAAAACUUCGUCGAAAGACG